UACAGAGGUCUCAAGCGUUGUUCGGAUUUACUGGGCGUAAAGGGCGCGUAGGCGGCCAGCACAAGUCAGUUGUGAAAUCUCCGGGCUUAACUCGGAAAGGUCAACUGAUACUGUGCGACUAGAGUGCAGAAGGGGCAACUGGAAUUCUCGGUGUAGCGGUGAAAUGCGUAGAUAUCGAGAGGAACACCUGCGGCGAAGGCGGGUUGCUGGGCUGACACUGACGCUGAUGCGCGAAAGCCAGGGGAGCGAACGGG
rnacentral:rRNA from 1 species